UCGUCGUCAUCACCUUCUCCCCCACGGCGCAGACGUGCGCAAGUCGUCGCUAGCUCUGUGGGCGUCAACGCUGCGGGAUCUGAACGCCGUCGACGUCCCUACCGUGCACUCCGGAUACGUGCCAGCAACUCAUCGCCAUCGCCAUCGCCUCCACCUCGACUGCCAGGUAAUCAUAUGUGCAUGUUCGCUAACGACUCCUCUGUUGUGUACGUACACACUUUAGUUUACAUGCAUGCAUGAACGAACAUUCUUUUGUACCAUCGGCCGAGAUGCUAAGUUCGUUACGCGCGCGUGCAGGUGUCGCUGUGGAAGCGUUGCCGCUAGCCGUGCCUCUGGCGGUGCCAGCUGACCCCCCGGUUGCUAAUCGAGUGUCUCCCCCGCCAGCCGUCGCUCUGACGGUGCCAGACGACCCUGUGGUGCUGGCGCCACCAUCGCCGCAGUCUCCGAGUGUUCCAGGCCCCGUGGCGGCAUCACCCUAGUUUACUCAUAGCCUUUCUCUAUGGCGGCAUGAUGAUUUGAAGAUCGCUACAAUAAAGUUGUCCGGCCGGCGGCUGAAGAGAUGGGGAUGGUUCUUGGGAAUGUAUCUUUAGUAAAAUUUGCUUCGUGUUGUCAGAUGACGAGUAUUUCUUUUCUGUAUUACAUUGUUGUUGAAGUAGCUGGAGGAAGCCAAACUGGUGCUUUUAAUUUACCUUGUCAGAACAUC
rnacentral:lncRNA from 1 species